UACGGGGGGGGGCAAGCGUUGUUCGGAAUUACUGGGCGUAAAGGGCUCGUAGGCGGCCAACUAAGUCAGACGUGAAAUCCCCUCGGCUUAACCGGGGAACUGCGUCUGAUACUGGAUGGCUUGAGUGUGGGAGAGGGAUGCGGAAUUCCAGGUGUAGCGGUGAAAUGCGUAGAUGUCUGGAGGAACACCGGUGGCGAAGGCGGCCUACUGGACGGUGACUGACG
rnacentral:rRNA from 1 species